rnacentral:miRNA from 2 species
AGGCACGGUGUCAGCAGGC